AUGGUGAUAGUCACUGAUCGAGAUCCUAUCUUCACAAGCACUUUGUGGCAAGAGCUGUGCAAAUUAACUGACACAAAAAUGAAUAUGAGUUUUGCAAGUCAUCCAGAAACUAAUGGUCAGUCUGAGAAACUCAACCAGUGUUUGGAAACAUUUCUCCGGUGCAUGGUACACUCUGCCCCAAAGAAAUGGGCUUAUUGGCUACCACAAGCAGAGUACUGGUACAACACUAACUACCACUCAGCGCUGGGCAAAACACCAUUUCAAGUCCUCUAUGGAUAUCAACCCAGACACUUGGGUGUUGCAAAUCUUCAGAGCUCGCUAUCAUCUGAUCUGUCAGGCUGGUUAGCGGAACGCAACCUGAUGCAAGGCCUGAUUAGGGAGCACCUGUUGCGUGCUCAACAGCGCAUGAAAGCACAAGAGGAUAAACACCGGUCAGAUCGGCAGUUUGCAGUAGGGGAAUGGGCAUACCUAAAACUUCAGCCCUAUGUGCAACAGUCAGUAGUCCGAAGAUCCAAUCACAAGCUCGGAUUCAAAUACUUUGGCCCUUACCAGAUUUUGGAAAAAGUGGGUGAAGUGGCUUACCGGCUUGCCCAGCCAGCGUCCAGCAAGAUACAUCCAGUGGUACACGUCUCGUUGCUGAAACCAGCACAACCUCCAGUGCAGAAUGACAGCACCACUGAUCUGGCUGCCCUUCAAAUCUCAACACUGCUGAAUCUGGUUCAGGUAUUAUAG
rnacentral:rRNA from 1 species